GAGGUUGUGGCUCAGCGGUAGAGCACUCGCCUAGCAUGUGCGAGGCCCUGGGUUCAAUCCUCAGCACCACA
rnacentral:tRNA from 1 species